rnacentral:rRNA from 1 species
UACGAAGGGGCUAGCGUUGCUCGGAAUCACUGGGCGUAAAGCGCACGUAGGCGGCUUGUUAAGUCAGGGGUGAAAUCCUGGAGCUCAACUCCAGAACUGCCUUUGAUACUGGCGAGCUUGAGUCCGGGAGAGGUGAGUGGAACUGCGAGUGUAGAGGUGAAAUUCGUAGAUAUUCGCAAGAACACCAGUGGCGAAGGCGGCUCACUGGCCCGGUACUGACGCUGAGGUGCGAAAGCGUGGGGAGCGAACAGGA